UACGUAGGGUGCGAGCGUUAAUCGGAAUUACUGGGCGUAAAGCGUGCGCAGGCGGUUCGUUGUGUCGGCGGUGAAAGCCCCGGGCUCAACCUGGGAAUGGCCGUUGAAACUGGCGAACUGGAGUGUGGCAGAGGGGGGUGGAAUUCCGCGUGUAGCAGUGAAAUGCGUAGAUAUCGGGAGGAACACCUGUGGCGAAAGCGGCUCACUGGACCACAACUGACGCUGAGGCGCGAAAGCUAGGGGAGCAAACAGG
rnacentral:rRNA from 1 species